ACCAGGUGCGGUUGCGCACACCUGUAGCCUCAGCUACUUAGGAGGCUGUGGCAGGAGGAUCGCUUGAGUACAGGAGCUCUGGGCUGUAGUGCACUAUGCUGAUCUGGUGUCUGCACCAAGUUUGGCAUCAAUACGGUGACCUCUUGGGAGCAGAUCAAAACUCCUGUGCUGAUCAGAAGUGGGAUCACGCCUGUGAAUAGCCACUAUACUCUAGUCUGGGCAACAUGGCAAGACUGUUUCCAA
rnacentral:SRP_RNA from 1 species